UGCACAUAUAGCAGUUGCUAGUGAACAAUUGCAUGAGAAGAUGACAAACUUUGUAUCAAAGAAUAAAGCUGCACAAAUCCAACAUACUUCAAGAGAUGGUGAGCUUUCCACACGGGACUUGCAAAAGAUGGUUCAGGCAUUGCCACAGUACAGUGAACAAAUUGAAAAGCUAUCCCUCCAUGUAGAGAUUGCUGGAAAAAUUAACAGAAUUAUCAGGGAUUUGGGGCUUCGAGA
rnacentral:misc_RNA from 1 species